GGAGCCUGCGGCUUAAUUUGACUCAACACGGGGAAAGUUACCAGGUCCAGACAUAGCAAGGAUUGACAGACUGAGAGCUCUUUCUUGAUUCUAUGGGUGGUGGUGCAUGGCCGUUCUUAGUUGGUGGAGCGAUUUGUCUGGUUAAUUCCGUUAAUGAAAGAGACCUCAGCCUGCUAACUAGCUAUGCGGAGCCAUCCCUCUGCAGCUAGCUUCUUAGAGGGACUAUCGCCGUUUAGGCGACGGAAGUUUGAGGCAAUAACAGGUCUCUGAUGCCCUUAGAUGUUCCGGGCCACACGCGCGCUACACUGAUGUAUUCAACGAGUAUAUAGUUGUCACGCCCAAUAUGCGACCCUAUCCAAAAGGAACUCGAAGGUCCCACCAAGGAUAGACCCGCAUAUUGAAACGCUUUUGCAAGGUGGA
rnacentral:rRNA from 1 species